rnacentral:rRNA from 1 species
UGGGGAAUAUUGGACAAUGGGCGCAAGCCUGAUCCAGCCAUGCCGCGUGAGUGAUGAAGGCCCUAGGGUUGUAAAGCUCUUUCACCGGUGAAGAUAAUGACGGUAACCGGAGAAGAAGCCCCGGCUAACUUCGUGCCAGCAGCCGCGGUAAUACGAAGGGGGCUAGCGUUGUUCGGAUUUACUGGGCGUAAAGCGCACGUAGGCGGACUAUUAAGUCAGGGGUGAAAUCCCGGGGCUCAACCCCGGAACUGCCUUUGAUACGGGUAGUCUUGAGUUCGAGAGAGGUGAGUGGAAUUCCGGGUGUAGAGGUGAAAUUCGUAGAAAUUCGGAGGAACACCAGUGGGGAAGGCGGCUCACUGGCUCGAUACUGACGCUGAGGUGCGAAAGCGGGGGGAGCAAACAGG